rnacentral:rRNA from 1 species
GAUGAACGCUGACAGCAUGCUUAACACAUCAGCCAUUGAUUGGUGGCGGACGGGUGAGUAACGCGUAAAGAACUUGCAUCCCAGGUAGGGACAACAUUUGGAAACGAAUGCUAAUACCUAAUACUGUGAGAGAGUUUUGCGUCCCAUUAGCUAGUUGGAGAGGUAACGGCUCACCAAGGCGAGGAGGGGUAGCCGGCCUGAGAGGGUGAUCGGCCACAAGGGGACUGAGACACGGCCGUUACUCCUACGGGAGGCAGCAGUGGGGAAUAUUGGACAAUGGACCAAAGUCUGAUGAAGAAAUUCUGUGUGCGCGAUGAAGUUUUCGGAAUGUAAAGUGCUUUCAGUUGGGAAGCGGGACCAACAGAAGAAGUGACGGCUAAAUACGUGCCAGCCGCCGCGGUAAUUC